rnacentral:rRNA from 1 species
CUUAAUAUUUUAAACGAAAAUAUUUGCCUGAGAACUACUGGCCACAGCUUAAAACUCAAAGGACUUGGCGGUACUUUAUAUCCAUCUAGAGGAGCCUGUUCUAUAAUCGAUAAACCCCGUUAUACCUCACCACCCCUUGCUAAUACAGCCUAUAUACCGCCAUCUUCAGCAAACCCUAAAAAGGAAUAAAAGUAAGCAAGAGAACUACCAUAAAAACGUUAGGUCAAGGUGUAGCCAAUGAGGUGGAAAGCAAUGGGCUACAUUUUCUUACAAAGAACACUACGCUACCCUUUAUGAAACUAGAGGACAAAGGAGGAUUUAGUAGUAAAUUAAGAAUAGAGUGCUUAGUUGAAUAGAGCAAUGAAGUACGUACACACCGCCCGUCACCCUCA